CCUGAUCAGACUCACCUGAGUCUCACCAGAAACUUCUAUCGCAGUGGGGAAACUGAGGCUGCGAGAAGCAAGGGACCGUGUCCACGGCUGCCCAGCGAGCCAGGGCUGGAGUCCCGGCCCCACGGUGCCCACCCCCGGCCGGCGUGAUGGCUCCGGGCCCUCGGGACAUUCUCCAUCUGCCUUGUUGGCCUUUAGCGCUCCCGUGAGCUGAAACAGCGCUUCUGGCGAGAUCAGUCAGUCAAUCAACUACCCAGCUGGGGGAGGUUCCCUUUGCCUCUGGCUCAGCUUCUCCUGCAGGGACCUUGCUCUUGACCUGACUCGCCUGGGGACGGAAGGGGGGAACGCCGAGAAGCCGGACGCCCUGCAUGACCUCGGGCCUGGGAGCCCAGGGAGGCGUCCGCACGGUGGACACGGCACCUGGGUUCCAGGACAGCGUGUCCCUGGGGUUGUCUGCUCGGGGACCCCAGGGCCCUUGCCCGAGUGCCGUCAGGGGACUCUGGCCUCUGCCAGGCUCGGUACCUGCGCCUCAGGGAGUUAAUGGGGCCCUGCGGGCGGAGGCAGGGAACAGCCUUGAGGCGGAGGGAACAGCAUGUGCGAGGCCUGGGGGCCUGUCAUCGUGGCCGGAGCUGGUGGCCGAGUGGGGAGGAAGCACCAGGACAGAGGUCCCGAAGGCGGGGGACCCGGGCUGGGUUGUCUGGGACGCAGCGUCCUCCUGGAAGGGGUCCGAAUGGAGGUCCGGAGCCCCAGGAGGGCCGGGAGGGGGCAUGCGGGACAGGUGGGCGCCGUCCUGGGCCCCUCGCUGCCCCCCAUUUCCCUGUGGGGGGCUGGGAACCACGGACCUGCGGGGACGGCCGCUUAGGGGGAGGGCCGAGUUCUCUUUGGGGGUGUGCAUUCGAGGUGCUGGAGGACCCCAGGGGCACGCGGGGCGGAGGGGGGAGGCGGGGUCGGGGGUGAGAGGUGAGAGGGGGUCGGGGGCCAUCUGGGAGGGGAGCCUGGGAGCCUCAGGCAGCACCAUUGUCGGAUCCCGGAGGGGGAGCCGCCGGGCCGGUCGGGGCUUGUUCUUGCUUUCCGCGCCGUUGAAAUGUAACGGACAGGUGUGCACACGCACACGCAGGCACACACACGCCCGUGCAGACGCUCACGCACACCCCCAGCACCCACCCCCGCCCGCCCCGAGGCUGGAGCAGCUGGUGGGAAGCGCCCAGCCCGGCUGUGCGUCUCGGGGUUGUGUGAAGCCUGUGAGUAAACAGCCGGCGGCCUGGGCCCCGGGGGGCUCUGCUCGCCUCCCUCUUCCUGGCGUCUGCGCGGCGGCCUCGACAGGGCACUCAGGCUCCUUCAGCCCCAACGGGGAAAGCAAACGGGGGACGGGGACCCAGCAGCCUGACUCGCGGGUGCGGCUGCCAGAGGGCCGAGGGGCACGUCCGGUGCCCCAGACACUCGUGUCCCUCCCGGUCCGGGGUCUCGGGGAUGGCGGGGUGCCGGGCGUGGGGGACGGGGCCGCGGCGUCUCGCACGCUGGCUGCACGUGGAAGGAAGGCCACACCUGUCGGUGGAAGAACGAGACGCCGUCGAGAAGGGACCUGGGAUGAGGUCGUGGCGCCGGGACCCGGCCGUCACGGGGUACGAUAGUGGCUGGGGGGGAGUGGGGCUAAAAACGCUGCUGGUGCCCGUUUGGGAAGACCCUCCGACGCCGCGGGACGCAGCUGGGACGUGACCGGUGGGCGAUGGAGAGCCUGUUAGGACUUUUUCCGGGAGCCACCUGUGACCCCCACCCACCCUGAGAGGCAGAAGGAGCCCUGGGGGCUGGGGCCUGAGGGCUGGUCCAGAGAGGGCUUGCUCUCCCCACCCGGCACACAGCAGAGCAUUUACGGCCGCGAUGUACGCGCCCUGGUUCCCCAAAUCUGCAGGGGCUCUCGCCGUUGGGGGUGGGGGCAGCGAGGAACCGGGCCGCGGAAGGGCGUUGGGAGCAGAGCUGGAGGUCCAGAGCCGCGGCCUGUGACCGACUGCACGAGCGUCUCUGGUUCCGCACAGAGAUGCAAGCCGGUGCAGCCGCGUGUUCCCUGCCCCGACAUGAGGGCCGUCCCUGUGCCCAGGAGAAGCGUCCGUCUCUGGGCACUUUCCUGUCCCCUGACGGCCACGGCCUGGCUUCAGGGAGACCCGAGACCAUGGCUGUCGCUGCCUCAGGACACUUGCAGCCAGAGUGUGCGAAUUAUCUCCCACGCGGAGGGAACGGGUUUUGCCCCGACAGUCGUUUCUUUAACGAUCCCUCGGCAGACGGUUGGUGGUGUCGCCGCCCUGGGAGCUGGCGGGUGUGGUCUCGCCUGGGCCGGGUGGACAGCCGGCCCGCACACUCCUGUCCUCCCGCUUGUUGAGCGCCCACUGGGGGGCCCGAUGUGUGUUGGUCCUCCUGGCGUCCGGCUCGGGAGGUGCCGUUUGCACUCUGGCCCGGACGUCCUGAGGGGGGAGCGUCGUCCUUCAUCUUGUCCAGCGUGUGGCCCACACGGGGUCGUCCGUGGGCCCAGGAGAAACGCUGCCGCUCGCAGCCUCGGUUCCCCGUUGACCCCAGAGGUGGCAGAGCCUGGGACGGGCGACCUGGCUUCGGGGGGCAACGGCGGGUGAGGCCGGACGGUGACGCGUCCCCUGGACGGUCAGCACAGCCGUCCCUGCUCCUCCUGCCGACAGAACCCCGAUCCUCAGCCCCGGCCCCCCAACACUGGCCGCCGUCCCUCCCCAGCAAUGGUUCAGGGCGGGCGCGUGACCCGCUGCGGUCAGCGAGGUGUGAGGGACGGUGGCCUGGAGCUUCCACAAGGUUUCCUGCCGAUGACGAGAGACUCGUAGGAGGGCAAAGUGGAUUCUCUUUUCCCGCCGAUGGUGUGAGGGAGGCGUGGUGACUCCCGGAACCGUGGCAGCCACUGUGCCACCACGAGGGACCCAAGUGAGGACUGGGAACCCCACUGAGGUCGUCAGAGCAGCGAGCGACAACAAGCCCGGGUCCCUGACGUGUCUCUGAGCUGCUGCGUUGACCCGCCUUCUGGUUCCGUGGGGUCACAGGUCGCCCCUAGUGUCCCUCAGCCGUCUCGGUCGGGUUUCCUGUUCUUUAGCCUGGAGUCUCCGGGUGACCCUGUGAACCAGGGCCCUUCGGUGCCACCCCUGGGGGUUCUGAAGAGGAAAACGAUCCCAUUGUAACAUGGGAAGUCGUCUAAAACGGGAAUGAAAUGCACGUAAAUUACACGCAUCGUGGAUGAAAGGCAUAAACGUGGAGAGACCCAGGUCAACGCCGUGGGGCAUCGCGAGCGGUUCUCUCUGCCGGGAUGUCUGCUCCCACCCCAGCCGCCUGGUCUCUCGGUGGCUGCGGCCCCAGGGCGGUCCCGCUGUGGGGCGGCUUUCGAGCCCACCUUCCCCUCGGCCGGCCCCCGUGGGCCGUGGAGCCCAGGACGCGGCCUGAGCCGCCACCAGCCCCAGGUGAGGGGAUGGCCAGGGCUGUGCUGGCAGGUGGGGCCCAGGGCUCUGUGCCCUCUCUGGGCUCCGGGAGGCACAUGUGACCCCCAGGCCCCCACCCCACGGCCUGAGUCUGGGGGCGCCCGGCCCUUGUCUGCCCAGGGGGAGGCGGCCGGCUGUUUGGACAGCCUGCUCCGGCCGCCAGAUGCCUCAUAAACACCCCGGACGCCGGGAGCCGGGAAGGUGGGGGGCAGGCGGGGGGGGGGCUGCCCAUCGGUGCCCUGAGGUUCCAGCACAGCGGGCACCGGCGGGGUCUCCUGACCCGCGUCCCCCAGACCGUGGCGGGCGGCAGUUACACAUUAACGGGCCGGCGCGCGAGGCUGGUCUGGGGGAGCCGUGGGGCAGCGGCCGCUCCACCGUGGCACCAGGUCAUCCCUGCCCCACCGCCGGCCGAGCCUCUCUGGGGCACGGCCUCUGUCCUGCAGCGCCGGUCCCCCAACGAGGAGUACAUGGAGGUGGGGCGCCUCGGGCCCUCCGACUACUUCGGGGAGAUCGCGCUGCUGCUGAACCGGCCCCGGGCGGCCACCGUGGUGGCCCGCG